UCCAGAUACCGGUCUUCGGGCUUUUUGGCUGUCAGGCCGCGUGGCUCUGGGGAUCUUAAAGGAACAUCAUUCUUUUCUCGUUCUUGAAACGCCGCCACCGAGUCACUGCCUUUGCAGUUCAAAAGCAUCUGUAAUUUUAUAAAACCGAGAGCUAAUGACUUUUUUUUUCUCCGCCGCGGCAAAUGAAACCUUUUCCAAAAAGAAACUUUUUCCCCCCCAAAAGUAAACAUCCGGAAUGCAGGCAAAUCAACCUAAAAUGUUCGGGUCGUUCUUACAAGCCUGAAUCACUCCAGAGACUCUGACUUCGCCGGCUGAACUUGGCGCGCAAACCUUUGUACCUACAACUUUAUAUUUUUUGAAACUGCAGCCAUGGAACAACAAUCUUUAAACAUGCCUGAUGACAAUUCCUCAGAGCAGCUUGUAUCUUCUGAGGAUUGACCAUCAGAGGAUUAUAAAUAAGCUCUAGCACAAGUGGGGAGAGUUAAACAGGAAGUUGGGAUUCACCAAAUGGUUCACAAAUCAAAAGUAAGUUCACAGACCCUGGUGGCAGCAACAGCUGUAGAGAGCCAUAUAGUGGGAAGGGACUCCUCUCUCAGCUUUGUUCAGCCAGUGCGGAUGUUAAAGCCUAGAGGCCAUCAUUGUAGAGGAGGAGGAUGAUGAAGCGACAGCUGUAACUUUGGAAGGAAUUGACACGUGCUACACCAUGAUCCACAGUAGCUAUGAAAAUCAAGAAGGCCUAUUCCAAACUUAGUGGAGAGGUAUGUAGGAUCCCUGCAGUGCGGAAACAGGCCCUUUGGCCCAACGAGCCGACACUGACCCUCCAAAGAGCACCCCACUCAGACCCAUCCCCUUACCCUAUCCCUGUAACCCUGUAUUUCCCAUGACUAAUGCAUCUAACCUGCACAUCCUUAAUCACUGGGUAAUUUAGCAUGUCCAAUCCACCUAAUUAGUACAUCUUUGGACUGUGGGAGGAAACCAGAGCACCCAGAGGAAACCCAUGCAGACACAGAGAGAACGUGCAAACUCCAUACAGUCAGUCGCCCGAGGGUGGAAUUGAAUCUGGGUCCCUGGCUCUGUGAGGCAGCAGUGUUAACCACUGAGCCACCAUGCAGCCUAAUGCUUCAAGUCUUUGCAAAAAGCCUGUCUCGAACUGGGUGACCACAUCCGUGGAAGUUCAAGCAAGGCCGUCAGGUGAGUCUGUACAGCCAUGGCCGCAGCAGAGACUCAGCUGAGGUAUCACUUGCUUUAAAGAGGGUGACAGAUACUUUAUCCUUGGGGAGAUGGCGGUGUAAUGGUAAUUUCACUAGACUAACAAUUCAGAACUUUAGGUUAAUGUUCUGGGAGUAUGGGUUUAAAUCCUACAAUGGCAGAUGGUGAAAUUUGAAUUGAAUAAAAAUCUGGACCAAAAAAAA